CGACCCACACCAUACUCACGGCAACGCCGGAUUCUUCACCCACGGAGCGAGGCCAGGGAUCGAACCCGCAACCUCACGGGUCCUAGUCGGAUUCGUUAACCGCUGAGCCACAGCAGGAAUGCCAGCAUUAUUCCUAACGCAGAAUUGUCAGAAACCGUGUCUUCGGGGAGAAGGCGUUUGGCGUGUGUGUGUAAGAGCCGUGACGCGUUGGUUUCGAACCCGCGGGAUCAGAUGCGGGGUCAGCCUUCCCUCAGCAGGUCAGCUGCGCCCUGUGCUUAGACGUUACUGAAUUGUAGGUUCAAUUCCUUCCAGAAAAGGUGACGCGUCAGUCCUGUGGGGGCAGCCCGAUGCUUUAUACUUUGUGCCCCUGGCAUCAACGAGGCUCAGGUUAGCCUGGGAGCAGCGUGACCUUAGGAAGUGGCAGCAGUGCUGGUUCCCUGGUGGGACUCCCUCCCGGCUCCCCAGGGCCUGGUCCUGUCGGGCGUGUGCUCUUGGAGCCCCAUCUGUGCCGAGGCCCUACGCCCAUGGACCCAGCCAGGGUCCGCGGUGGUCUUCCCGACUCCCUGAGUCCCCCGGGGAAGUGGCCGAGUCGGACUUGAGUCGGCAGCCACCCAUCUGUCUGUCCACGCCUCUCGGGCAUUUAGUGGAUGCUGGCCGGGCCCCGUCCCGUGCUGGGAGGCACGUGUGCUUGGCCUGAGCUGUGGGCUGGCGUUGCGGGGUGGGCCUUGUCCCUGGUGUGGUGUCCGUAGCUGGAGACGGGCAGGGCUGAAGGCCUGGCGCAGGCAGGUGUGGAGGGGACGAGGCCCGGAGAGCCCGCCGAGCCCUGACAACCGCUGCGACAGCAGAGCAGCACGGCCACCGAGGGAGCCGUGUGCUGUUCUUGGAGCCUGGGCGGCUGUGACGUCCCUGUUACAGGGCCCUAGCCAGCGGGGCCAGCACAGGAGGCAGGUGUCAGAGGGAGCCUGUCUUCACCAAGUCGGCCACAUUGCAGGGCCGAGGUUCUCGUCGGCUCAGCCGGCCGUGCGUGCAGACUGGCGGGGCCCUCGGCCUGGCUCUUGGCCUGGAGGCUGCGGUGCGGAGGGAAACCGGUGGAGAGGAGACGCCGAGGUCAUGGGUUCCAGCCCUGCCACUGCCCCCUUCCUGCCUUCUCGUCACUCCCUUCACCCUUGGUCUCGGUUUUUUCAUCCGUCGGGAGACCGGAGGUCGUGCAGAUGGCAGCACAGCAAAGCCUCGACGCCGUCGGGAGCCCUGAGGGCUUGGGAGCGGAAUGAUCAGAAUGGAGCCUCGGGGAGCCACGUCUGCCUCUUCGGCCCUCACCCUCUUGCGGAUGCUCGGCCUGUCUCCGAGGGGUAUGCCGUCACCCCCGUGCUCCAUAGACCACAGCGCCGGCGUCUGGAGCUGCCCGUGGCCUGACCGUGUGGCCGCCACCAUGCGUCCCUCCAGGAUCCACCUUGCGGGUGCCUGGGGGUCUUCCUGUCCGAGGGCCCUGGGUUUCAUUUGCUUGUCCCUUUGCUUUAAUGACCUUGUCAUCAGACCAUUAAACACGUCACUGAAGCAGA